rnacentral:misc_RNA from 1 species
CCAAUAGCGUAUAUUAAAGUUGUUGCAGUUAAAAAGCUCGUAGUUGAAUUUCGGAAUCAAUAUGUCGGUCGUGCCUUGGUACGUACUGGUAUCAUUGGUUUCUCCUUUCUGACGAACCAUGAUGUCAUUAAUUUGGUGUUAUGGGAAGUUAGGACUGUUACUUUGAAAAAAUUAGAGUGUUUAAAGCAGGCUUUGGCUUGAAUACAUUAGCAUGGAAUAAUGAAAUAGGACGUUCGAACCUAUUUUGUUGGUUUCUAGGAUCAACGUAAUGAUUAAUAGGGAUAGUUGGGGGCAUUAGUAUUCAAUUGUCAGAGGUGAAAUUCUUGGAUUUAUUGAAGACUAACUACUGCGAAAGCAUUUGCCAAGGAUGUUUUCAUUAAUCAAGAACGAAAGUUAGGGGAUCGAAGACGAUCAGAUACCGUCGUAGUCUUAACCAUAAACUAUGCCGACUAGGGAUCGGAUGAUGUUAAUUUUUUAAUGACUCAUUCGGCGCCUUACG